AGUGAACGCUGGCGGUAGGCCUAACACAUGCAAGUCGAACGGCAGCACAGUAAGAUCUUGCUCUUACGGGUGGCGAGUGGCGGACGGGUGAGGAAUACAUCGGAAUCUACUUUUUCGUGGGGGAUAACGUAGGGAAACUUACGCUAAUACCGCAUACGACCUACGGGUGAAAGCAGGGGAUCUUCGGACCUUGCGCGAUUGAAUGAGCCGAUGUCGGAUUAGCUAGUUGGCGGGGUAAAGGCCCACCAAGGGGACGAUCCGUAGCCGGUCUGAGAGGAUGGACCGCCACACUGGAACUGAGACACGGUCCAGACUCCUACGGGAGGCAGAGGUGGGGACUGGUGGACAAUGGGCGCAAGCCUGAACCAGCCAUACCGCGUGGGUGCAGAAGGCCUUCGGGUUGUAAAGCCCUUUUGUUGGGAAAGAAAAGCAGCAGGUUAAUACCCCGCUGUUCUGACGGUACCCAAAGAAUAAGCACCGGCUAAUUUCGU
rnacentral:rRNA from 1 species